rnacentral:misc_RNA from 1 species
AAGUCGUAACAAGGUUUCCGUAGGUGAACCUGCGGAAGGAUCAUUACAAGUGAGGCUACCGAACGUUGGAAACAGCGGUUAGGAGCUUACACCCACCCGUGUCUACAUACUAUUGUUGCUUUGGCGGGCCGUGGCCUCCACUGCGGGCUCUGCGUGCUGCGUGCUGUCGCCAGCAAGCAACGAAACCUCAAUGAUCGUUCAUGGAAUUGGUUAAGUUGGAUUGUCCUUGGAAGGUUAACCUUAAUUCUAAUAGUUAAAAC